AUCGGCUUUCAUCGGAUGGGG
rnacentral:miRNA from 1 species